UGGGGAAUCUUGCGCAAUGGGCGAAAGCCUGACGCAGCGACACCGCGUGGGGGACGAAGGCCUUUCAGGUCGUAAACCCCUUUCGGCAGGGACGAAGCGAUCUCGUGACGGUACCUGCAGAAGAAGCCUCGGCUAACUACGUGCCAGCAGCCGCGGUAACACGUAGGAGGCGAGCGUUGUCCGGAAUCAUUGGGCGUAAAGAGCGCGCAGGCGGCUUGGCAAGUCGGGUGUGAAAUCCCGGGGCUCAACCCCGGGACUGCAUUCGAUACUGUCAGGCUAGAGGUAGGUAGGGGAGAUCGGAAUUCCUGGUGUAGCGGUGAAAUGCGCAGAUAUCAGGAGGAACACCGGUGGCGAAGGCGGAUCUCUGGGCCUUACCUGACGCUCAGGCGCGAAAGCUAGGGGAGCGAACAGG
rnacentral:rRNA from 2 species